rnacentral:sRNA from 1 species
AGCCCAUCCCAGGAGAUGUCCUGACAACACCUGUGUACCCUGCAUAGGGUCCCUGAUGGGCCUGGGUGACAUUAUCUCACAGCAGCUGGUGGAGAGGCGGGGUCUGCAGGAACACCAGAGAGGCCGGACUCUGACCAUGGUGUCGCUGGGCUGUGGCUUUGUGGGCCCUGUGGUAGGAGGCUGGUACAAGGUUUUGGAUCGGUUCAUACCUGGCACCACCAAAGUGGAUGCACUGAAGAAGAUGUUGUUGGAUCAGGGGGGCUUUGCCCCAUGUUUUCUAGGCUGCUUUCUCCCACUGGUAGGGGCACUUAAUGGACUGUCAGCCCAGGACAACUGGGCCAAACUACAGCGGGUGAGCUGGGCAGGUGUGGAGAAUGUCUCUGGCUGGCAGGCUGACAGCCCAGGGGAAGGAGACAGGUUUUACAGGGAUAAAAAAGGGGGUAAGUGCAGGUAGAGUCCCAGGCCAUGGAGGAGAGGAGCUGAGGGUUAUGGUGGAGGAAUGUGCUCUUUGAACCCAAGUCUGUGUGUGACAUUCACACUGGGAAA